GAGGUAAGAUAGAUGGUCGCCCUGUUCUUUUUAAGAACCGGGAGGAAAGUCCGAACUCCGGAGGGCAUGGUGCUGGGUAACGCCCAGUGGGGGUAACCCUAAGGAAAGUGCCACAGAGAACAGACCGCCGAAGAAGUUCCGGGAGAAGUUCCGGGGACACCAUCCGGAAGUUCCGGGGACACCAUACUCAAUUCAAAACAGAAUUGAGUAUGGUGUCCCCGGAACUCCGGAACUUCUGGUAAGGGUGAAACGGUGAGGUAAGAGCUCACCGCUCCAUUGGUGACAAUGGAGGCACGGUAAACCCCACCAGGAGCAAGACCAAAUAGGGGAACAUUCAGUGCAGAAAUGUACUGAUGAAGUUGGCCCGACCGGGUUCCCGGGUUAGGUCGCUUAAGGUCUCAAGAGAUUGGGAUCUCAGAGGAAUGAUCAUCACCCCUCAAAGGGUAACCUUAGAGGGGGACAGAAUUCGGCUUAUUUCUUACCUCGUCC
rnacentral:RNase_P_RNA from 2 species